CUUUUUUUUUUUUUCUUGGGGAUUCUUCUCUCUCUUGCCAGACUGACUUACACCUUCUUGAUAAUUUCUCUUCCCCUCGUUUUUUUAUACUCUUCUCCCCGCUUUCAAACCCUGUGUCUGUGUGUUUCAAUACUAUCACAACCUCUGCUAAAAAUAGAUCUUUUUAUAUACCCUUCCUCCUCUCUGACCCCAUCCAACACCCCUUGUUAAGGUAACCAUCUUACACACAGAUCAAGAAACAUAAAUUCACUUGGCUGUCCUGUAUCUCUAAGGAACCUGAUGCAUGACUGGACUAGAGAAGGGGAAGACAGAAAAACUCCAAAGACCUACAUAUCAUCUUGCUGGCAGGGUCAAGUUUUCUUCAGAUUGAGGCAGAACUGUGGCUCGUGAACAUCUGAUGUGAUAGAACAUAUUCAACACUCUUAGAUAUCUUGAGACCUCAGAGUGACUACAAAAACUGACCGACGACGGCAUUUUUUAAAAUAUCACUGGUCUCCUGACAAG